UGUUACUGUGUGUGUUACGUGUGUAAAUUAACUUGAUCAACGUGCACCAGAGUUAACACUAGAGCUACUGUGAGAGAGAAAUAGUCAAACUGCAGGGAUUCAUUAGUUUAGUAUUAUUGUGUAACUUUGAUUAGCACCGAGCAGCUGGUGUUGCUCACUAGGUUGUUUUGUGGAGUCAAACCGCAACGAAUAAAAGUUUUCUGAUCUGUUUAUUUAGCGUUACUGAAGUACUGCUAUUACUGACGAUAUAAGUGUAGGUCCAGUGUAACAUCCUAUACUCAUAUAAUCUCCUAUUGUAUUAUAAACACUGAGGCUCACUGCUAAAUGUCUGUUAUUGCACCGGGAACUUGUCACAACAUCAGUUACAGUGACCUGAUGAAGCUCAGGUGUUCCUGGACCCAUCAGAGGACAGAGACAGCUGCAGCAUCAGCAUCAGGACAGUCUGGGUAUCCAAAGGAAGACUCAUCAAGAUGAACACUGACUGCAGAGCUCCAUUACCAGCUCACACUUCAGUAUACUAGAAACCAUAAACCUUGAUGGAGAACAUGAUCUGCACAGUUUACAUAAAAGUUCUAGCUUUGUUUCUUAACAUGUGUAACUGGAAUAUGAAUGAAAUAUAAAUAAAGUGUUUUACUUUUAAGAAGAGUUUUUGUCAUUUUUAAAUUCAGUAAUAAGUGUGGUUUUAUAUAAAUAACAUGUUAUUUCAGAGGUUUUAUGAAGAUUUCCUGGAUGUACAAGACUUGAAAACCUGAUUCGUGUAACAUCUAUCAAUAUGAAAAUGUGGAACUUAAACCUGUAUUAAUGACUGUAAGCAACACAAUACAUUACUGUCUCACAUUCAAACUUUAUUAUAUUGGAAGAUAAAUUACAUCAUAAUAUAUAAUAUAAAUGAUAGAAUAUUCAGUAUAUAUACAGUAUUUUUAAUGGGGUUCAAACAUAAUUGCAACUUUUACACAUAUCUGAAGGUGAACUUUGGUAAUAAUACUUUUAAGUUAAAAUAUCAGACUAUGAAAUAUGGAUACAGUACAGUUAACAGUUGGUUACUUGGCAGUUUUUAAACCACAUGAACAAGUUACUUUAUUAGAUGAGUGAUUCCUUCAGUUAUGUUGACAUGUUGUACAGGAUAAAGUAUUCCAGGUUUCUGUUUCCAUGGUCUCAGUAAACUAAUGGUUAUAAAGAAUAUAACAGAUGGGAGG
rnacentral:lncRNA from 1 species